rnacentral:rRNA from 1 species
CGUAGGGUGCAAGCGUUGUCCGGAAUUAUUGGGCGUAAAGAGCUCGUAGGCGGUCUGUCGCGUCGGAUGUGAAAAUCCAGGGCUCAACCCUGGACCUGCAUUCGAUACGGGCAGACUAGAGUUCGGUAGGGGAGACUGGAAUUCCUGGUGUAGCGGUGAAAUGCGCAGAUAUCAGGAGGAACACCGGUGGCGAAGGCGGGUCUCUGGGCCGAAACUGACGCUGAGGAGCGAAAGCGUGGGGAGCGAACAGGAUUAGAUACCCUGGUAGUCCACGCCGUAAACGUUGGGCGCUAGGUGUGGGGAACCUUCCACGUUCUCCGUGCCGCAGCUAACGCAUUAAGCGCCCCGCCUGGGGAGUACGGCCGCAAGGCUA